rnacentral:rRNA from 1 species
UGGGGAAUAUUGGACAAUGGGGGCAACCCUGAUCCAGCAAUUCUGUGUGCACGAAGAAGGUUUUCGGAUUGUAAAGUGCUUUCAGCAGGGAAGAAGAAAGUGACGGUACCUGCAGAAGAAGCGACGGCUAAAUACGUGCCAGCAGCCGCGGUAAUACGUAUGUCGCAAGCGUUAUCCGGAAUUAUUGGGCAUAAAGGGCAUCUAGGCGGCCCUGUAAGUCUAGGGUGAAAACCUGCGGCUCAACCGCAGGCCUGCCCCGGAAACUACAGGGCUAGAGUAUCGGAGAGGUGGACGGAACUGCACGAGUAGAGGUGAAAUUCGUAGAUAUGUGCAGGAAUGCCGAUGAUGAAGAUAGUUCACUGGACGGUAACUGACGCUGAAGUGCGAAAGCUAGGGGAGCAAACAGGAUUAGAUACCCUGGUAGUCCUAGCUGUAAACGAUGAUUACUGGGUGUGGGCAUGAAGAGUGUCCGUGCCGAAGCAAAUGCGAUAAGUAAUCCGCCUGGGGAGUACGGCCGCAAGGCUG